AUGGUAAAACUGUCUAUAUAUACAUGUAAUAUCUACUGUCAAAUGCAAGUAGCUGUUGAAAAUAUUAGAAUCAGCUGCUGACAUGAAAAUCCCGUAUAUCCAAAAUUCGAUGCAAUUACCUUUCGACUAUUAUUGAGAUCUUGUCAUUAACGAAAAAAAAUAUAUAUAAGCAAAUGAGUUGUGAACAGAAAAUAAACAAACAAGUAAAGGACUGAACUGUUACUUGAAAAUAAAGUACAGUGUUUAAAGUAGAAGACACAUUGAUGACUUAUGAUGGCAGUGAAUUUUGAGGGUAAUAAUAAUAAGAAGACAGCAUUUUAAAUCAGUGCGA